CCUACGGGUGGCAGCAGUGAGGAAUAUUGGUCAAUGGACGAGAGUCUGAACCAGCCAAGUAGCGUGAAGGAUGACUGCCCUAUGGGUUGUAAACUUCUUUUAUAAAGGAAUAAAACGAGGCACGUGUGCCUUUUUGCAUGUACUUUAUGAAUAAGGAUCGGCUAACUCCGUGCAAGCAGCCGCGGUAAUACGGAGGAUCCGAGCGUUAUCCGGAUUUAUUGGGUUUAAAGGGAGCGUAGAUGGGUUGUUAAGUCAGUUGUGAAAGUUUGCGGCUCAACCGUAAAAUUGCAAUUGAUACUGGCAGUCUUGAGUACAGUAGAGGUAAGCGGAAUUCGUAGUGUAGCGGUGAAAUGCGUAGAUAUUACGAAGAACACCGAUUGCGAAGGCAGCUUACUAAACUGUGACUGACAUUGAUGCUCGAAAGUGUGGGUAGCAAACAGGAUUAGAUACCCCGGUAGUC
rnacentral:rRNA from 1 species